ACAGCAACACAGGAUCCGAGCCUGUCUGCAGCUCUGGGACAGAAGGUCACCAUUUCCUGCCCUGGAGGCAGCGGUGAUAUUGGAGGUUACAGCCAGAUGUCCUGGCAUCAACGCCUCCAGUGCAUUAGGUCAUCCCCUCCAUCCUUCAGUUCCAAGAGUGUGGUUUUUGUCUUUUCAGGUUCCUGGGCCCAGUCUGCCCUGACUCAGCCCCCCUCGGUGUCCAGGAAUCUGAAGGAUAUGGAGACCAUCUCCCGUGCUGGAACCAGCAGUGACAUUGGGGGUUAUGUCUCCUGGUACCAACAGCACCCGGGCUUGGCCCCCAAACUCCUGAUUUAUCAUGUCAACACACGGGCCUCAGGGAUCCCUGAUGGCUUCUCUGGCUCUAAGUCUGGCAACACGGCCUCUCUGACCAUCUCUGGGCUCCAGGCUGAGGACAAGGCUGACUAUUACUGUAGCUCACCUAGAAGUGGUGGUACUUUGUACAGUGGUCCAAGUUCAUGGGGAAGUGAGACCAAAACCUGCCCUGAGCUAACAGGCCUCCUGCUCCUCUGA